UACGUAGGGGGCAAGCGUUGUCCGGAAUCAUUGGGCGUAAAGAGCGCGUAGGCGGCCCAGUAAGUCCGCUCUGAAAGUCAGGGGCUCAACCCCUGGAUGCGGGUGGAUACUGCUGGGCUAGAGUCCGGAAGAGGCGAGUGGAAUUCCUGGUGUAGCGGUGAAAUGCGUAGAUAUCAGGAGGAACACCGGUGGUGUAGACGGCUCUCUGGACCGUAACUGACGCUGAGACACGAAAGCGUGGGUAGCAAACAGG
rnacentral:rRNA from 1 species